rnacentral:rRNA from 1 species
GAUGAACGCUGGCGGCGUGCCUAAUACAUGCAAGUCGAGCGAACAGAUGAGGAGCUUGCUCCUCUGACGUUAGCGGCGGACGGGUGAGUAACACGUGGAUAACCUACCUAUAAGACUGGGAAAACUUCGGGAAACCGGAGCUAAUACCGGAUAAUAUAUUGAACCGCAUGGUUCAAUAGUGAAAGACGGUUUUGCUGUCACUUAUAGAUGGAUCCGCGCCGCAUUAGCUAGUUGGUAAGGUAACGGCUUACCAAGGCAACGAUGCGUAGCCGACCUGAGAGGGUGAUCGGCCACACUGGAACUGAGACACGGUCCAGACUCCUACGGGAGGCAGCAGUAGGGAAUCUUCCGCAAUGGGCGAAAGCCUGACGGAGCAACGCCGCGUGAGUGAUGAAGGUCUUCGGAUCGUAAAACUCUGUUAUUAGGGAAGAACAAAUGUGUAAGUAACUAUGCACGUCUUGACGGUACCUAAUCAGAAAGCCACGGCUAACUACGUG